rnacentral:rRNA from 1 species
AGAAUGAACGUUGGCGGCGUGGAUUAGGCAUGCAAGUCGUACGGGCCGCAAGGCCAGUGGCGCAAGGGUGAGUAAGGCGACGGUAACCAACCCCGUGAUCGGGUAUAGCCGCGGGAAACCGCGGGUAAUCCCCGGCGACGUCCGGAGGGGGCAUCCCCUUCGGACCAAAGCCCCGGCGUCGCGGGACGGGCUGUCGUGGUAUUAGCUUGUUGGCGGGGUAACGGCCCACCAAGGCUUUGAUGCCUACCGGGCGUGCGAGCGUGGCCCGGCACACUGGGACUGAGACACUGCCCAGACUCCUACGGGAGGCUGCAGUCGAGAAUCUUCGGCAAUGGGCGCAAGCCUGACCGAGCGACGCCGCGUGGAGGACGAAGGCCUUCGGGUUGUAAACUCCUGUCGGAGGGGAAGAAGGGCCCUUAAAAGCCUUGACUGAUCCCUGGAGGAAGCACGGGCUAAGUUCGUGCCAGCAGCCGC